rnacentral:RNase_P_RNA from 1 species
GCGGUGUGGUAGGUAAUUGCUUUUAUAUAAAAGAGGAAAGUCCGAGCUACAUAAGACUAGGAUUCCAUUUAACAAAUGGCUAGGGCAACCUAAGGGAAAGUGCAACAGAAAUAUACCGCCAUUUUAAAUUUGCCAGAUAAACUCCUACGUAGAUUCUAUAAUGGUAAGGGUGAAAAGGCAGGGUAAGAGCCUACCGACUUUUUGGCAACAAUAAGUGCUAUGCAAACCCAAUCCGUAGCAAGAAUAGCAGGUUAGAAAGUCUUAAAUUUUUAGCUAUUCGCUUAAGCAAUAUUGCGAAAUAUUGCAUAGAUAAAUAAUUACCUAAACAGAACUCGGCUUACAGCCACACCGAUUAA